rnacentral:lncRNA from 1 species
CUGUAUCUAAUUCCUUUGUGGGUUUUGCUUCCAUUUCUAUCUACCAGAUGACUGUAUAUAUAUACACACUCUCAAAUAUAAAAGCUCAGGUGCUGCAGUCAGAUAGAACUCUAGACCUUGGGCAGUUUCAAAAAUACUUUGGCAGCAAAGGUGAAGAAUAUUUGGCUGUCCCUGGAUGUUUAAAACAUUUGAGAAUAUUGAACUAGUAAAAAGGAUCAUGUGCACAUCAUUGUAAAAUAAUGUGACAUAAUGAAGAAUAAAGAGUUAGUCAAAAGCAUUCCCUGCAGGGCAAAACAAGUAAUCUGAAACAAUUGCACAUGUGAAAUAUUGCAACAGUACAAUCUCCAAAAAUAUUUUUUAAAAAGUGAAGUAUCUAACUUAUAAAAGAUACCAUAAGAAUAAGCAAUAGAAUUCAAGCUAUAUAUUAAAUGAUUUAAAUCCAAAAUAAAAAGCUUUACACAGACAAUUUCAAUUUUUUUUUUUUUUGGGGGGGGGAUUAAGAACUCUAGACCUUGGGCAGUUUCAAAAAUACUUUGGCAGCAAAGGUGAAGAAUAUUUGGCUGUCCCUGGAUGUUUAAAACAUUUGAGAAUAUUGAACUAGUAAAAAGGAUCAUGUGCACAUCAUUGUAAAAUAAUGUGACAUAAUGAAGAAUAAAGAGUUAGUCAAAAGCAUUCCCUGCAGGGCAAAACAAGUAAUCUGAAACAAUUGCACAUGUGAAAUAUUGCAACAGUACAAUCUCCAAAAAUAUUUUUUAAAAAGUGAAGUAUCUAACUUAUAAAAGAUACCAUAAGAAUAAGCAAUAGAAUUCAAGCUAUAUAUUAAAUGAUUUAAAUCCAACAUAAAAAGCUUUACACAGACAAUUUCAAUUUUUUUUUUUUUGGGGGGGGGAUUAAUGCAAAAAAUGAGAAGUCAUCCCAUUUGUUUUUUGAGCAGAGAAAAAUUGUAAACUUUACCAAGAGGAGAAAUAUACCGUUGUUUAGAUAAGAGGAUUAUCCCAAUCUUUUAAAGUCAAAAUAACUGAGGUCAUUUGACCACUUAAUCCAGGUAAAGAAAACUCUAAUGUUUUGACAGAACAUAAUGGAAUACAACAUUAAAACAGAGCAUGAAGGUUGCUUCAGCAUCAUACUGCUGCCUGUUCUAGAAAUUUACCAAUAUACCAGAUGUGGACAUUUAUCAUCUACAGUUCUACACAGGACAUUAAUGCCCCCAUUAAAAAUAAACUCUUUGUAGUUGCAAUUUUACAAUAUGUUCCAGAAAAGUGAGCCACACAUGCUUGUAGUAUGCAACAGUAAGAACAACAACAAAGGAUAAAAGGAAACAGACUAAAUUAUUACAAGAUCCCAAUAGAGUGACUUAUAAAAUAGAGAAAAUCAAGGGGUUAAAAAACAAUAAGCCUGGUUCCAAGAAGAAACUGGGUUUGAUGGCACAAACUUUCCAACAAAACAAACCUCUCUCUACAUAUCUUCCUAUGGUCCCCAAAAAUCAUUCAAAAUGAACACCUAAUGACUGAACUGAUUUUCUUAUGACUAACAAAACUUAUAGCCCUUUUCCCAUUUACUUAUACUAAAAGUUGCGCAGGAAAAGCUUCAACCUUGCCUAAACUUCGAGAAAAACUAGUUUGGACUCAAGACAUCACUACAAUUCUCACAAUCCAUGAAAGGACUAGGCAUAGCAUAACAACAAACCAGCCUUACUAAUGCUUGAAACUAAAGAAUAAAGCAUAAACAGCAUAACUAAAAAAUAAAACCAAAAAAAUAAAUACAAAAUUGAAAAAUGACACUGAAUUGACAAUAGGCGCCCAUAAAUAAAUUUAUGCCUACCCAGCAUUGCAGUUUGUAAUCAAACUGUAUUGCAAACUGCACAUGCUUUUCCCAGAAACAUCUCUGCUCCUGGUAAUUGAAUUUCAUAAUAUAAAAAAUCAUAACUUUUUUUUCAAAAAAAAGUACUUGGAAUGAUCAAAACCAACAUGGCAUAGCAGUAACCAUUUCAAACCAAAGAAAAUUUAUCAAAAAACCAAAACUUAUUCCCCAAUAUCAAAAUAAAUAAAAAAUCACUCUAUCAACUUCAAUUUCAUUUCCAACAGCAAAAUUUGAUGAAAAAUAAAAAGUAAACUCAAACACAUAAAACAACCAAACCCUAACCCGAUCCACUAAAUCCAACUCCUAAAUUUAAAUUACAAUAUUUCAAAUUCUGAAUCAAAAAAACAACAAACAAUUAAAAAAAAAUUAAGAAAAAAACCAAAGACAAGGCUUUAAAAUUAUACCUG